AUCUUGGAGAAAGAAAUAAAUGGUUCAGAUUCCACCUCUCUCUUCUCUCAGAGGCCCAGCUCCACAGCUCCUGUGCUCUUCACCUCUCUCUUCUCUCGACUUUGCCCGCCUCAGCUUGUCAAAACGGCAAAACCUAAACUGCAGUCGCCAUCUCUCCUCUCUCUCUCUCUCUAGUCUCUCCGGCACGGGCCCUCUCCCUCUCAGCCUCUCUCCUCGGCCGUCGAUGGCCCUCGCUCUCCUCAACGGUGACUCCGGUGACGUUUAAAUUGAGAUGGGUUCGUGAAGCGGCUCCCUCCAACUAGUUCGCAAGAAGGAGCUCUCCGACUACCAGUAUAGUCCUUUUAAUCCUCACUAUGUUGAAGACGUUAAUGGCUUUAGUGGUGAGGAGGAGGAGCUCUCGGGUUCAAGAGGUGGGCCCGUCUACAUUGAGAUCAGUCUGAGUGGUCCUCUCACCAGUGUCGGUCUCUUCCAGUCUUCUAUUCUCCAAGAGCUUCAGAUAUCAUAGAUCAACAUGUUCGUAAAGGAACUAAUCUAUAGCCAGUCCCUGACAAGGAGCACUCAUGCUGAAGGUUCGUAAUAAAGGUUAGAUACCAGCUUUUAUGAGGUUUUAGAGCCUUCUUCAGUGUACAAUCAAAGACAAAUGACACUUAAAAGAAAGAGUACAGGGAAGCAAAAUGAUGUACCAUUUAGUUGCCCUUUUUCUGUAUUGCAAUAUUGAAAUCGAUGUUAUAUAUGGUACUUAAUGAGUUUGCUCUAUUUGUGUUUUCAGAUUUGGUCAAUAACCUUGGUGCCAUUGCAAGGUCUAGCACCAAGGAAUUCAUGGAAGUCUAGGCUGCUGGAGCUGAUGUUAGCAUGACUGGUCAGUUUGGUGUCGGGUUCUACUUUGGAUAUCUUGUUGCUGAGAAGGAAGAGGAAGGAAAGGUAUAGAGUUCGGAAGUUGAUGAAGACGUACAAGGAAGUGGACUAGUACAAUAUGUUUCUGGCCUUGAUGUUUUUGGGCUUUAUGUUUAGGUAGGGUUAGUAUGUUAAUGUUGGGGUGAUGAUGGAAUGAAUUGGUUUUGAAUGUUUAAUCAAUGGAUAUGUUUUUGACUGUUGGUCAAUUGGUUUUGGUUAAA